rnacentral:rRNA from 1 species
AGGACGAACGCUGGCGGCGUGCUUAACACAUGCAAGUCGAGCGACGCUCCCCUUUCGGGGGGAUGACGGAGCGGCGAACGGGUGAGUAACACGUGGGCAACCUGCCCCUAGCUCUGGGACAACACCGGGAAACCGGUGCUAAUACCGGAUACGACACCGAGCGGCAUCUCUCGGUGUGGAAAGUUUUUCGGCUAGGGUUGGGCCCGCGGCCUAUCAGCUUGUUGGUGGGGUAAUGGCCUACCGAAGGCGACGACGGGUAGCCGGCCUGAGACGGGCGACCGGCCAAGACGUCGGACUGAGACACGGCCAGACUCCGUACGGAGGCA